AGGGCGCAGGGCGAAUGCCUUGGCACUGGGAGCCGAUGAAAGACGUGAUAAGCUGCGAUAAGCUUCGGGGAGCUGCAAAUAAGCAUUGAUCCGGAGAUCUCUGAAUGAGGAAACUCACCUGGGUUCAUACUCAGGUACGUUAUACUGAACUUCAAAAUAGGUAUAUCGAGGGAACCGCCUGAACUGAAACAUCUAAGUAGGGCGAGGAAGAGACAUCAAACGAGAUUCCGUAAGUAGUGGCGAGCGAACGCGGAAGAGGGCAAACCGUGAGUAGAAAUACUUGCGGGGUACGGACUGCUUUUAGGACUUAAUCUGUUAACCGAACGGCAUGGGAAGGCCGGUCAGAGAGUGUGAGAACCACGUAGGUGAAAACGGAGAGAGCUGCGCAGGAUCCAGAGUACGGCCAGACACGUGAAACCUGGUCGGAAGAUGGGGGGACCACCCUCCAACCCUAAAUACUACCCAGUGACCGAUAGCGUAUAGUACUGUGAAGGAAAGGUGAAAAGCACCCCGGGAGGGGAGUGAAAAAGAACCUGAAACCCUGUGCCUACAAGCACCUAGAGCACGUCAAUGUGUGAUAGGGUACUUUUUGUAGAACGGUCCGGCGAGCGAUUGUAUGCAGCAAGGUUAAGGACUUAAGGUCUGGAGCCGAAGCGAAAGCGAGUUUGAAAAGGGCGUUAAGUUGCAUACAAUGGGCCCGAAACCGGGUGACCUACCCAUGGUCAGGUUGAAGUGGAAGUAAAAUUCCAUGGAGGACCGAACCGACCUCCGUUGAAAAGGCGGCGGAUGAACUGUGGGUAGCGGAGAAAUUCCAAUCGAACCCGGAGAUAGCUGGUUCUCCCCGAAAUAGUUUUAGGACUAGCCUCAAGUUAGAUACCUGGAGGUAAAGCACUGAAUAGCCUAGCGGCCGAGAGGUUAGCGAAGCUUAUCAAACUCAGAAUGCCAGAGUAUUGAUGCUUGGGAGUCAGACAGUGUCAGAUAAAUGUCAUUGUCAAAAGGGAAACAGCCCAGAUCUACAGCUAAGGUCCCAAAGUCAGGUUAAGUGGAAAACGAUGUGAAGAUACGCAGACAACCAGGAUGUUGGCUCAGAAGCAGCCACUCAUUCAAAGAGUGCGUAAUAGCUCACUGGUCGAGCGUCUUUGCGCGGAGAAUUUAACGGGGCUAAACCUGACACCGAAGCUUAGGCAACAUGUUUACAUGCUGGGUAGGGGAGCGUUGUAUACGCGGUGAAACAGUAGCGCAAGCGGCUGUGGAGUGUAUAGAAGUGAGAAUGCCGGAAUGAGUAGCGCGAAUGCAGUGAGAAUCUGCAUGGCCGAAAGCCUCAGGUUUCUGGAGGAAGGUUCGUCCGCUCCAGGUUAGUCGGGAGCUAAGGUGAGGCCUAACGGCGUAGCCGAUGCACAGACGGUAGAGAUUCCGUCACCACCAAAAGAGUUAAGCACAGGGACACAUUUGAAGUCUCGGAGCCGGGUGUUGGUUCCGGUAGCGAUCGAGGGAAAUUAGUACCGAAGUCCGGGAUGGAAGAUGGCGAGAAAAGCUGUGUGUAUUUCUGCGGUGCCCGUACCGCAAACCGACACAGGUAGGUAGGAAGAAGAUUCUAAGGCCAACGGGAGAAGGGUUGUUAAGGAACUCGGCAAAUUGACCCCGUAACUUCGGGAGAAGGGGUGCUCCAGCGAUGGAGCCGCAGAGAAUCGGCCCAAGCAACUGUUUACCAAAAACACAGGUUUGUGCUAAAUCGAAAGAUGACGUAUACGAGCUGACGCCUGCCCGGUGCUGGAAGGUUAAGAGGAGAUGUGCAAGCAUUGAAUCGAAGCCCCAGUGAACGGCGGCCGUAACUAUAACGGUCCUAAGGUAGCGAAAUUCCUUGUCAGGUAAGUUCUGACCCGCAUGAAAGGCGUAAUGAUUUGGGCACUGUCUCAACAGCCCGCCCGGCGAAAUUGUAGUACCGGUGAAGAUGCCGGUUACCCGCGACAAGACGGAAAGACCCCAUGGAGCUUUACUGUAGCCUAAUAUUGGGUUUCGAUGUUGCAUGCACAGGAUAGAUGGGACACUGGGAAGUGAUCGCUUUGGCGGUCAUGGAGUGGCCGUUGGGAUACCAUCCUUGCGAUAUUGGAAUUCUAACCUGCGCCUUUGAAUCAAGGCGGGGGACAUUGUUAGGUGGGCAGUUUGACUGGGGCGGUCGCCUCCUAAAGAGUAACGGAGGCGUUCAAAGGUUCGCUCAGCUUGAACGGAAAUCAAGCAAAAG
rnacentral:rRNA from 1 species